AUGGAGAAUCAUUAGGGUAGUGCAAAAGUAAUUGCGGUUUUUGCCAACAGUUUUAAUAGCAAAAACAACAAUUACUUAUGCAUCAAUCUAAUAGCUU
rnacentral:miRNA from 1 species